UAGAAGUUCCGGUCUGGCCACACUC
rnacentral:piRNA from 1 species